AAAGCAAAGAGGUUCCCGAUUAAACUGUGUUUAAAGAAGAUUCCUUGGUGUGGCGUCUUUCUUGCUGGUCAAGGUUGGACGCCGCAAGUGGUGGCCCGUACGGGGAAUUCAGAACUUCUCACAGUCGGGGCAGCGCCGGUAAGUUCCCAAGGAUCAGCAAGACCCGGUGUGGAUUCCAGAGAGACUAAUGAGGAGGUGCAACAGACAAGAUGAAGCCUCCGAUACUGAUCCUGCUGCUGACCUUGAUGACACCGUGGCUGAUCCAGGCCAGAGAACAAAUCCUGAUGGCCAAUAAUUUCAUAGAGAACAGCAACCUGAGUUGACAGCUGAGUGCCUACCUUCAGGGAAAUUGGAGUCAACAGUUCGAGAACCUGACAGACACCCUGACACAACAGAUUAUUGCCGUGAAUGCUACACGCCUGAGCCUGCCCACUGUUAAUACCCUCUUAACUACCCUUAAGCGAGCCUUUAGUUUAGUUAAGGAAUGGGCUGG
rnacentral:lncRNA from 1 species